rnacentral:rRNA from 1 species
GUGGGGAAUAUUGGACAAUGGGCGAAAGCCUGAUCCAGCCAUGCCGCGUGUGUGAAGAAGGUCUUCGGAUUGUAAAGCACUUUAAGUUGGGAGGAAGGGCAGUAAGUUAAUACCUUGCUGUUUUGACGUUACCGACAGAAUAAGCACCGGCUAACUUCGUGCCAGCAGCCGCGGUAAUACGAAGAGUGCAAGCGUUAAUCGGAAUUACUGGGCGUAAAGCGCGCGUAGGUGGUUUUGUAAGUUGGAGGUGAAAUCCCCGGGCUCAACCUGGGAACUGCCUCCAAAACUACAUGACUAGAGUACGGUAGAGGGUAGUGGAAUUUCCUGUGUAGCGGUGAAAUGCGUAGAUAUAGGAAGGAACACCAGUGGCGAAGGCGACUACCUGGACUGAUACUGACACUGAGGUGCGAAAGCGUGGGGAGCAAACAGGAUUAGAAACCCGGGUAGUCC